rnacentral:rRNA from 1 species
CGCCGAUGGAGGGGGGAUAACUACUGGAAACGGUAGCUAAUACCGCAUAACGUCGCAAGACCAAAGAGGGGGACCUUCGGGCCUCUUGCCAUCGGAUGUGCCCAGAUGGGAUUAGCUAGUAGGUGGGGUAACGGCUCACCUAGGCGACGAUCCCUAGCUGGUCUGAGAGGAUGACCAGCCACACUGGAACUGAGACACGGUCCAG